rnacentral:lncRNA from 1 species
UUAGCCACUGAACAACAACAUGAAGAUCCUACCAAUUUCCUUUUCUGAAAAUAGCUCAAGGAUUCAUACCUUUUUCGUCCCCAGACUCAAGAUAAUAAAUUCUCAUAAUGAAAGUAUAACCCUUUGCCUCCAUAGCCCGAUGUGCAUGCAUUCACCCAUGUAUCCAUCCAUCCAUCCAUCCACCUACCCACCUACCGACUCAUUCACCUGUGUUGGUUCACUGUUGGCCCAAGCCUAUCCGCUGCAUACUGUGCACACUUGCGACGUUUGUAGGUGCCAGUUAAGGAUUCUCACCACUUUGAAAAAUGGUGGGAAUGGAAAUACUAUACGGGCUGCAUUUGAGAACCAGACUGCAAAGACACUGCACCAAGCCAUAUGUGGACUCUUAGUUCCUCAACCAGGAAUUGAACCCACACCCUCUGCAUUAGAAGCUCAGAGUCUAACCACUGGACCAUCAGGGAAGUCCUGCCCAGCACUUUUUGAGUUUCCAUAGAGUUAAGGGUCCACUGUGGCUGAGGAGGAAAGCACAGUUCUCUAUACAGAAGGUAGAAG